UACAGAGGGUGCAAGCGUUGUUCGGAAUUAUUGGGCGUAAAGGGAGUGUAGGCGGUUUGGUAAGUCUUCUGUGAAAUCUACGGGCUUAGCCUGUAACGUGCAGAGGAAACUACCGAGCUUGAGUGUCGGAGAGGAUAGGGGAAUACCCAGUGUAGAGGUGAAAUUCGUAGAGAUUGGGUGGAACACCAGUGGCGAAGGCGACUAUCUGGCUGACAACUGACGCUGAGACUCGAAAGCAUGGGGAGCAAACAGG
rnacentral:rRNA from 1 species